rfam:Theileria annulata genomic DNA chromosome 1 part 1
GCCGCGGUAGCUCAGUUGGGAGAGCGUCAGACUGAAGAUCUGAAGGUCCCUGGUUCGAUCCCUGGCCACGGCA